rnacentral:rRNA from 1 species
AUGGGGCGGUGGUGUUCGCCGGCGUCGGCGGAGCUGCUCCUGCUGGGCGGUGCCCUCGUCGCCGCCUCCUUCUACGCCGGCACCCUCUUCCAGUCCUCCGCCUCCCCCGCGCUCAUAUUGCCCCCUUCCGUCUCCCGGUCGCCCGGUUCAUCCAAUCCCCAAGAUGCUUCAGAGUUCACAAACAAAGUUGGUGUUACUUAUCGAACGGCGUCAAUCUCAGUUCCUGAUUAUGGACUUGAUGUGUGCCCUUUGGAAUACAACGAGUAUAUUCCCUGUCAUGAUGCCGCCUAUAUAAGAAGCUUAAGGAACCUGGAUAGAUCUAGACACGAGGAUCUUGAAGCUAAAUGCCCUCCACGAGAGGAGAGCUUGUUCUGUUUGGUGCCCCCACCAAAUGACUACAAGAUACCGAUAAGAUGGCCAACAAGUCGGGACUAUGUAUGGCGUAGUAAUGUGAACCAUUCACACCUUUCUGAGGUAAAAGGAGGACAGAAUUGGGUGCAUGAGAAUGGUAAGCUUUGGUGGUUUCCUGGCGGUGGCACUCACUUCAAGCGUGGUGCAUCAGAAUACAUAGAGAGGCUAGGAAAUAUGACAACCAAUAGUACUGGUGAUCUCCGUUCCGCAGGAGUUGUUCAAGUUUUGGAUGUUGGAUGCGGUGUUGCCAGCUUCUCUGCUUAUCUUCUUCCCCUAGAUAUUCAUACUAUGUCAUUCGCGCCAAAAGAUGGCCAUGAGAAUCAAAUCCAGUUUGCUUUAGAGCGUGGGAUCGGUGCAAUGAUCUCUGUGUUGGCCACAAAGCAAUUGCCAUAUCCUGGAAAUUCAUUUGAAAUGGUUCAUUGCUCCCGAUGUCGUGUUGACUGGCAUGAAAAUGAUGGAAUAUUGCUCAAAGAGGUCGAUCGUCUUUUGCGACCUAAUGGAUAUUUUGUAUAUUCUGCCCCACCAGCUUAUAGAAAAGAUAAAGAUUUCCCUAUUAUUUGGGAGAAGCUAAUUAAUAUCACAUCAGCAAUGUGUUGGAAGCUUAUUGCUAAGCAUGUUCAGACUGCUAUAUGGAUCAAACCUGAAGAUGAAUCUUGCCGACAGAAAAAUGCUGAUACGGGGAUCCUGAAUAUCUGUGACCCCAGUGACACUUCUUCAUGGCAAGCUCCAUUAAUGAACUGUAUUCGGUUGAACACGGACCAAUCAAAAAUUCAGAAACUGCCUUCCAGACCUGAACGCCUGUUAUUUUAUUCGAGGAGUUUGGAAAUAAUAGGAGUUACUCCAGAGAAGUUUGAGAAUAAUAACCAGUUCUGGCGGGACCAGGUUCGCAAGUACUGGUCAUUUCUUGGUGUUGAAAAGACUAGCAUACGGAAUAUCAUGGACAUGAAUGCUAAUUAUGGUGGAUUUGCUAUGGCACUAAGCACUGACCCUGUCUGGAUUAUGAAUAUAGUACCCUAUACAACCAUCAACACACUGCCUGCUAUCUAUGACCGGGGGUUAAUUGGUUCCUACCAUGACUGGUGUCAGCCAUUCUCAACAUAUCCUAGGUCAUAUGAUUUGCUACAUGCUUUCCACCUCUUUUCACAUUAUCAAGGUCAUGUAGGAGGUUGCUUAUUGGAAGAUAUCAUGCUAGAAAUAGAUCGCAUCAUUCGUCCACAGGGUUUUAUCAUUAUCAGAGAUGAGAAUACCACUCUCUCAAGAAUCAGUGAUCUCGCACCAAAGUUCCUAUGGGAUGUCACCACUCACACGUUGGAAAAUGAGGAAAACAGGCCGGAGCAGGUGUUGAUUUGUAGGAAGAAAUUCUGGGCUAUAGUUUGA